UACGUAGGCAGCGAGCGUUGUUCGGAGUUACUGGGCGUAAAGGGUGUGUAGGCGGUUCUCUAAGUUUGGUGUGAAAUCUCCCGGCUCAACCGGGAGGUGCGCCGAAAACUGGAGGGCUAGAGUGCGGGAAGGGAGAGUAGAAUUCCUGGUGUAGCGGUGAAAUGCGUAGAUAUCAUUAGGAACUCCGGUGGCGAAGGCGGCGCACUGGUCCUUUUCUGACGCUGAAGCGCGAAAGCCAGGGAGCAAACGGG
rnacentral:rRNA from 1 species